AUUGAACGCUGGCGGCAGGCCUAACACAUGCAAGUCGAGCGGAUGAAGGGAGCUUGCUCCUGGAUUCAGCGGCGGACGGGUGAGUAAUGCCUAGGAAUCUGCCUGGUAGUGGGGGAUAACGUCCGGAAACGGGCGCUAAUACCGCAUACGUUCUGAGGGAGAAAGUGGGGGAUCUUCGGACCUCACGCUACCAGAUGAGCCUAGGUCGGAUUAGCUAGUUGGUGGGGUAAAGGCCUACCAAGGCGACGAUCCGUAACUGGUCUGAGAGGAUGAUCAGUCACACUGGAACUGAGACACGGUCCAGACUCCUACGGGAGGCAGCAGUGGGGAAUAUUGGACAAUGGGCGAAAGCCUGAUCCAGCCAUGCCGCGUGUGUGAAGAAGGUCUUCGGAUUGUAAAGCACUUUAAGUUGGGAGGAAGGGCAGUAAGUUAAUACCUUGCUGUUUUGACGUUACCAACAGAAUAAGCACCGGCUAACUUCGUG
rnacentral:rRNA from 1 species